UCUGGGCCCACAACAGUAGAUAUUGUCCGCUUUGGGAGAGCCCGUGGCCCAUCUUACCCCUCACGGUUUUGUUUCUAAGGGAGAGCCGAAGCCCGUCUUACCCCUUAAAACGCGUCUACUGUGGUCUCUUGGGGCUUGCCAUUAUAAGGCGUCCCCCCUCCUUACCUCUUUCCGAUGUGGGAUACUUUCAAUCCACCUCAUAGGGCUUCUACCCCCCAUAAGGCCUGAGCGUCCUCGCUCAGCACACCGUACUCAUGAGGCCCAGGCUUUGAUACCAAUUGUAACAUCCUCUGGGCCCACAACAGUAGAUAUUGUCCGCUUUGGGAGAGCCCAUGGCCCAUCUUACCCCUCACGGUUUUGUUUCUAAGGGAGAGCCGAAGCCCGUCUUACCCCUUAAAACGCGUCUACUGUGGUCUCUUGGGGCUUGCCCUUAUAAGGCGUCCCCCCUCCUUACCUCUUUCCGAUGUGGGAUACUUUCAAUCCACCUCAUAGGGCUUCUAAAUUGGAACAAUUGGUACUCACUCUCACCAGACUAUUCCCUUAAAGUGGGAGGUCAAGGGUUCGAGCAGUGGGGGAGGCGACCUAAUUUCCAAAGGGAAAUUUGGGCCAAAUCCACUUGGGGUAAGAUGGGCCGUAGGUGCUCUCCCGAGGGACAAAUCCUGCCCGGAUCCCGUGAGGGUGAGGGGAUGUUAAGAGCUGCCCACAGGGCCGGU
rnacentral:lncRNA from 1 species